GAUGAAGAACGCAGCGAAAUGCGAUAAGUAAUGUGAAUUGCAGAAUUCAGUGAAUCAUCGAAUCUUUGAACGCACCUUGCGCUCCUUGGUAUUCCGAGGAGCAUGCCUGUUUGAGUGUCAUUAAUAUUAUCAACCUUUUUGGUUGGAUGUGGGUUUGCUGGACCCCUUGAGAUCAGCUCUCCUUAAAUGCAUUAGCGGACAACAUUUUGCCAACCGUUUAUUGGUGUGAUAAUUAUCUACGCUAUUGACGUGAAGCAAGGUUCAGCUUCUAACAGUCCAUUGACUUGGACAAGUCUCUUUUUAUUAAUGUGACCUCAAAUCAGGUAGGACUACCCGCUGAACUUAAGCAUAUCAAUAAGCGGAGGA
rnacentral:misc_RNA from 1 species